AACUUCACCGCACUGCAUUUCAUCGCAUUCCGUUGGGUUUCGGUGGGGAUCGGUCGCCCCGGGUCCUCCGGCCGGUCCGUCCUGCAGGGGAUUCGCUUGCAUCCAGCCCAGCGCUUAGGCCAGGGCCUGGCGCCUAGUGAGCGCUAAAGAAAGAGCACCAUCCUCAUCGUCGGCCUCAUUAUUUGUGAUCGUUAUCAUUAUCUGUCAGGUGGUUUUUGUCGUUGUUUUACCUUGCAGCCUCCGGCGCCUGGAGCCCGAAUCAGAGCGGCCCGGGCCGCCGCCGAGCCCCGGCUCCGCGAGGAUCCGCGCCCAGCAGAGAAAUUUUAGGUUGACCUUCAUCUGAGUCAUUGCCGUGGAUCCUGGCGAUUGAUUCCAGCCCAGAAAACCCAACUUCGCCGAUUGAAAAGCUGCUCUGAGUUUUCCGCUGCAAGAAGAAGCCGGCUCUUUUGAAUACAGAGCUGAAGGUCGCUACGUUUUUGAAGCCCGUUGACUUUUCUCCCGGGAGUUUUGUAACCCGUGGCGCUGCAAGUUUCUCUAUGUACCAGGAGGAAAAGAAGACCCUUCAGUUUCAGAAAGAAGAAAAGGGAAGCCAGAUGCAAACCAUUUCAAGAAGGGAUAUUCUCAACCCCAUUCCAACUGCACUUGGAAUAAUCUGAAAUUUAGUUACCGUGGACCCCACCACUGAAACAACGGUCAAGUCUCCUGCUUUGUCUCUUAAAAGAAACAAAACCAUAUGCAAAUACUGCCAACAGCGUACAAAACAUCAGGGUGUUCCCCGACUCUACCAAAAGCGUUUAUACCCGUUUCAUUUAGUAUUCUGGGGACUCGUGCUUCUCCAGGUAUAUUGUAUUAUGCAUUGUUUCUCGGGGAACCGUGGCACUUUCUGAAUUCGGUGCGGGCUAAAAUUCCGCCUCUUGAGCAAUGCGGACUGGCUUUUCACUUACUCCCUCGAAUCGUCCAAACGGGAGACAAUUAUCACUUCAUUAAUCUCCUGGGAAAUCAGAGCUUCAAGCUUCCAGCCCAAAAUCUCCAUUCAAGAACUCAACAAGAUGCUUCUUUGCCUCUGCCCUCUCACUGGAUCUCACCUUGA
rnacentral:lncRNA from 1 species